rnacentral:rRNA from 1 species
UUGGAGGGCAAGUCUGGUGCCAGCAGCCGCGGUAAUUCCAGCUCCAAUAGCGUAUAUUAAAGUUGUUGCAGUUAAAAAGCUCGUAGUUGAACUUCGGGAUCAAUGGAUUGGUCAUGCCGAUGGUGUGUACUGGUCAUAUUGGUUCUCACCUUCUAAGGAACCAUAAUGUCAUUUAUUUGAUGUUGUGGGGAAUUAGGACUGUUACCUUGAAAAAAUUAGAGUGUUUAAAGCAGGCUAACGCUUGAAUACAUUAGCAUGGAAUAAUGAAAUAGGACAUCGCAUUCUAUUUUGUUGGUUUCUAGGAUCGAUGUAAUGAUUAAUAGGGAUAGUUGGGGGCAUUAGUAUUCAAUUGUCAGAGGUGAAAUUCUUGGAUUUAUUGAAGACUAACUACUGCGAAAGCAUUUGCCAAGGAUGUUUUCAUUAAUCAAGAACGAAAGUUAGGGGAUCGAAGACGAUCAGAUACCGUCGUAGUCUUAACCAUAAACUAUGCCGACUAGGGAUCGGAUGAUGUUGAUUUUUUUAAU